rnacentral:tRNA from 1 species
AAUCUAGUAAAUAAACUAUAUAUAAAAGUGUUUUGAAAACACUUUUUGAGUAUUCUACUCAUAGUUUU